UAUUUGUUGGUGGAAAUUUGGUCCAUAAUUGCAGUCAAAUCUUUUGUUUUCUGUCACAAGUGGAUCUGAACAUAGGACAUCUCACCCACAGACAAAUCAUAUGUUUCUGGUUAAUUGAGGGUACAACAAAACCUGCUUACAACUUCAGGUUACUUGGGGCUAAUCCAAU